GCCUGGGUGGCUCAGUCGGUUAAGCGUCCGACUUCCGCUCAGUUAAUGAUCUCACGGUUUGUGGGUUCGAGUCCCACAUCAAGCU
rnacentral:tRNA from 1 species